UACGUAGGGAGCAAGCGUUGUCCGGAAUCAUUGGGCGUAAAGCGCGCGUAGGCGGCCCGAUAAGUCCGCUGUAAAAAGUCAACGGCUCAACUGUUGAAAGCCGGUGGAUACUGUCGGGCUAGAGUACGGAAGAGGCAAGUGGAAUUCCUGGUGUAGCGGUGAAAUGCGUAGAUAUCGGAAGGAACAUCAGUGGCGAAAGCGACUUCCUGGACCAGUACCGACGUCAGGCACGAAAGCGUGGGGAGCAAACAGG
rnacentral:rRNA from 1 species